UAACAUGGCAGAUAAAAUGCAACUGUCCUAAGAUCAUUUCAAAACCUCGUUGGUUUGUUAAUA
rnacentral:tRNA from 1 species